rnacentral:rRNA from 1 species
UGAUCAGCCAUGCCGCGUGAGUGAUGAAGGCCUUCGGGUUGUAAACUUCUUUUGUCCCCGUUGAAGAGGACGGAGCUAAUACCACGAGCUCAUGACGGCUCCUUGAGAGUAAGCACCGGCUAACUACGUGCCAGCAGCCGUAGUUAAUACGUAAGGUGCAAGCGUUAAUCUUAAUUGCUGGGCGUAAAGCGUGCGGAAGCCGUUAUGUAAGACAGGUGUGAAAUCCCCGGGCUUAACCUGGGAACUGCAUUUGAGAGUGCGUGGCUUGAGUGCGGGAGAGGGGGAUGGAAUUCCGUGUGUAGGAGAGAAAUGCGUAGAUAUGCGGAGGAACACCGAUGGCAAAGGCGAUGCCCUGGAGAUGCAGUGACUCUCAUGCACAAAAUCGUGGGGAGCAAACAAGAUUAUAUACCCUGGUUUUUCACGCCCUAAACUAUAUCAACUGGGUGUUGGGUCUUAAAUGACUCAGUAACCAAGCUAACGCGUGAAAUUGACCCCCCGGGGGGUUCCGGCCCAAGGAUUAAACUUAAAAGAAUUGACGCGGA